GUAGCAGGCCCCCGUGGAGGAUUAACACAGUGGCUGAACACCGGGAAGGAACUGGCACUUGGAGUCCGGACAUCUGAAACUUGAGUUGACAAGCCGACAUCAGUCUCCAGAGUGAAUCCAAGGAGUGGACCCAAGACAUUUGUGUUCUGUGAUGUGGUGGCAUGUUACCUGUCAUCUCUGAUGCAUAACUCCUAAAGUGUUUGCGUCUGGGGCAGUUGUACAGAUUGCAAAGGAUAAUACUCAAGAUGUCCUCCAAGGCCAACUACUCAUCAGUUUAUUCAUGUUUCUGGGACUGGAUUCAUGAAUUCAUCCUUUCAACUAUUUCAACAAGCUUUUUCAUGUAACUAAUCUGUGGAAGGUAGAAAGGGGAAAACUGUUGGGUGCUAAAAUGACAACUGGUUCAAGGUACAAUGGCGAAUAUUUUUAUUUCUGCAACUUUUCUUAGAGGUUGGAAACUAGACUGGGCAGGAAGAUUCCUUUUUGUAAGAUUAGUCUCCAGUUUUCAUCAAGCAGUUUAGUGGGGUAUUUUAGGCCCAGUUCCCUCUCCACAGUCCCCAAAGGUCUUCUGUUAACUUUAAAUCAGCAAAGAGAGAGAUCUCUGCCAAGUAGCAACUGCAAGAGCAUGUGGGUCAAAGUUACCAGCAGACACUCAAAGCCCAUUCCCUUUACUUCAACACCGCUUUAUAAAUUAUUUUAGAGACGUUGUCAGGUUGGUAUCAGAGGAGGAGCGUCAGAUAAUUAGGCAGCAGUCCAACAAUUAGGUUUUGUGGAACUUUUACUAUGUCAUCUAUUUAUUGGAAUUCCCUCUGGAUACCAGGACCCCCUCCAGCAGAGCUUAAAGUUAUAGUUACAGGAAGUACAAAUUCCGUAUGUGGAUCCCUGGAAGUGUGAUGAGAAGAACCACUGUUUCCAAGAUCUAUUUAUUCUAUUUAUCAGGCCUAUAAAAUCAUGUAAUGGCCAUGGCUUCAACUAGACUCC
rnacentral:lncRNA from 1 species